AGGUAGGCUUGAUUUUUAAACAGAUUGCUCCCUGUGUCUGUCUGCAGGUGAUGAUGUUGAAUGAUAGGAUUGGGAGUGUAUCAAGGCUUCAAUCACAAUUAUCAAAGGCUGAAGACUAUUUGCUGAAGCUUGCGCCUGUUACCCCCUUCUCGGAAUUUGCUUAUGCGAGGUAGCUCAUGAGCUCGCUCAUAGCUAGACGGGAAACCUUAUUACAAAAAAGACUAAUGAACAUUUCUGGCUCAAUGAGGGUUUCACGACAUAUGCAGAGAGGAGAAUUGUCGAGGCAGUGCAAGGAAAGGAACGAGCGGCUCUAAAUAUUAGGAUUGGAUGGAGGGGUUUGAAUGACGAGAUGGAGAGGUUUUAAGGAUAAUAUAGAGUUCACAAAGCUGAAGCAGAAUCAGCAGGGAGUGGAUCUUGAUGAUGUUUAUUCUCAAGUGCCAUAUGAGAAAGGGUUUCAAUAGACACAGACACAUUUCUUGAGUUUUUGGUGGAAAAUGUUCCUGGAAUAGAGAAUCAGAUUAAUCUUAAGCUGUGGGUCGAAGGUACAGGAAUCCCUCCUGAUGCAGUUUAUGUAAAAGUUUGUAAACAAUUUAUGUAUCUCUCUAGUAUUUUGGUGAAUGUAUUAUUUGAAUAUAAUUGGA